CGGCGCGGCAAGCACCACGUUCCUUGGGAUGUUAAGAUCCUCAGUCCUGGAACCAAAGACCUGCGCAGUGUGCUUAGAGCUGUACAAACAAGCAUCCUGGUGUGUGCAAAGGUGUAUGUGCAGGUGUGCAUGUGAGAGACAGAGAGAGAGACAGUGAGAGCCCUUGCCUUUCAGGAGUCACUUGGACGUAGCUGCCCGUGAGACAUUGGCGUAGCAGGUUAGCAUCUGAGUGGCAUUUCCACUGCCCCACCGUCAAGUUCCUUCACUGAUCUUAUCGCCCACACUCAGGCUCCAGCUAUGAGGAGACCGAGGGUCUAGCAUCUACUGAACUUCAAGAGCACAAGUGCCAGGGUGCAGGUGCGACCGCGGGCUGGCCUGGCCCACGCCACAGGGCCCAGGGGAGCCUGGUGCUAAACGAUCAGCCAGCUUUGUUCCGUGGCUGCUGGAUGUACUUCAGCCAAACCAUCUCUCCAGCAACCUACCCCACCGAUGGUAAAUGGGACGUCAAACAUCUCACCUUUCUUGGAACAAAAAGUUGCUGCAAACACUGUCUUUUGUUUAAUGCCAUUGGCCUCCUCAAAGGCCCACGUGGUGUUACUCUUGUUACUCGUGCACAGGCUUCCAGAUCGUUCUCCUCCAGGAAGUUCCAACGCCACAGACUCCACCUGACACCUCUGCUGUGUGGCCCCUCUGAUUAAAGCUCAGUAAAGAUUUCUAUAUGAAUGAUAGUCAGAUAACCCCUUCUCAAAUAAUCAGAGUAUAGUAAAACUCAUAAAGCUGAUCUCACACAUUAAAAUUUUCAUUUUUAAGCUUCUGUAAUGCCUCAGGGCCAUAAUAAUGAAUAUCAAUAAUUUUAUUGCAGCCAUAGAAAAAUGGAUCAUUAAUAGGUUAGAUAAUAACAUAAUAUGUAUAAGAGCGAACAGUCCCAGGAAAUGAGGUAUUACAAAAGUAAAAAAAGAAAUAUUUAAGGAAAAACUUUCACUGGAGUAAAAAGAAAUAUUAAAUGGUUUUCACUGUAGUAAUACAAAGGGAUAAUCAAAGGCAGUGGGUCACAGCUGGUCAAGACCAACUGGAAAGAAAGAAACUGAGAUAAUAAACAUUCAGCAGGUAGCAGACAGUUUCCAGCUGCUGCAUAACAAGUCACCCCAAAGGUAGGGGCUUAAAACAGCACACACUUAUUAGCUCAGAGUCUGUAGGUCAGAAGUCUGGUCUGGCCUGGCUGGGGUCUCUGCUCAACGUAUCACAAGACGGAAAUCAAGUGUCUGCAGGGCCGCGUUCUUAUCUGAGUUCCGUGUCCUUGUCACAGCUCACAGCGCUGUGCCGGAGUUCAGUUUCCUGCAGUUGUGGGACUGCAGCCCCCGUUUCCUUGCUGGCUGCCAACUGGGGGCUGCUCUCAGAUCCCAGGGGCCACCCACCUUCCUUGCCACACCAGGGAGCUGGCCCUCUCCAGCUUCAAAGCCAGCAACAGAGACUUUCCCUCACAUUGGAUUCUUCCUAUGCUUCAAAACUCCUCAGGAAAAGCUGAGUCCCUAGUGAGGGUUCACCUGAUUAGGCCAGGCUCGCCCAGGAUAACCUCCCUUUCUUGAGGCCAACUGAUUUGGCAACUUAAUUAAAUCUGCAAAAUCCCUGUACAGCAGCACCUGGAUUAAUAGGUGAUUGAGUAACUGGGAGAAGAUGUGUGUAACCAGGGGCCGAGGAUCUUGGGAUUCUGCCUGUCGCUCAGACCCAGCUCUGGAUGGCCGCAUGGAGCUUGGAAGCUGCAGUACAAACCCAAGCAGCAGGGAUUGUCCACUUACAUCCCCUGGCAGGGCAAAGGCUAGAAGGAUCCAGGGUAAGAUGAAGAGCAGGUGUGGGAAACUGCACAAGGCUGGAAGCUAUUUCAAUGUUCUCAGGUCCCAUCGGCUGUUGGUUUGAAAGCCCUCAGCCGACCACGGUCCUCGCUUGCAGAAAGGAAAGCAGGGUUCUGGAGAGAGUCACGCUCUCCUGAUUGAAGCAAAACAGACACUCUGAGAUUGUCCAACACAUAUGUCUAGAGACAGAAGAGUGAUAAUAGCUUAAUUCAAAAAUAAAUAUAUAAAAGGACUCAAGACAUGUGGUGUAAAAUAAUGGUCAAAAUAUAUAUAAUUUUCACGGAAAGUGCUUCGAGUUUGAAUUUCUCAUUUCUGAGGAAUCUCACUUUGUAAUUAAGAUUUACUGGCAUGGAAGAUAAAAAAUCCUUCACAUGGGGAAAUAUCUUUAUGGUUUAACUCCGAUUAUGAAAUCCAAAGAUGCAUUUCAAACGGAAGACCAGGGACGCCUCCUUUUAAAACAACUACGCUCCGAGGUAAUGGAGUCUUCCAAUGUCAAACUUGCAAAGUUCAGUAUUUAUAGAAAAAUUCACAUGCCUUUAAUUACAAUAAAUUUGGUUCCCAA